ACACACAUAGUGUAUGUGCUGAGUUCGGCCAAAGAAAGGAAGAAGGAAGGUGAAACCAUUCUUCACACCUAAAUCAACAAAUUGAAAGCUAAUUGGGGCAACUCGGGUGAAGCUUUGGGAAGUCAAGCCGGGGCAAACGCACGACUAAAGGAAAAACUUUAAGGUAAUAGCUAACAAGUUAUGGAUGAAGAUCAAGCUCAACGACAAACCGAACACAAACUAGAAAUCAAGCUUCCGUUUUUGUUUAGUCUUUUAAGAAACCAAACAUCAUUAGUAUAUUGUAAUGUUUUCAAAUACUUAUGAAGUGUUUAACUAACUUUAAA